CUGUGCAGGGGACCACACUGGGACGGGGGUGCCAGGAGACGCGGGGCAUGAUGAAGGGCUUCUCCCCGUGGCGUGGCCUCCCCCUUCUGCUGCUGCUGCACGCUGCGGCUGACGAGAUGAAUUCUUCACUGCCAGCAGCUUCCACCCUGAGCACAAAGAGCACCAUUUUGACGACCAACAUCACCGCCCCCCUCCAGUGGAACAGCAGCUCUGCUGUCGUGUCUGAGGACACCAUCUCCUCUGCUAUGCCAAGAACCCUCACAAACAGCAUGGGCCCCACCAGCACAGGAACCCCCAGCACACCCAGUGUAACGCAGAACCCCACAGACAGAACCACCACCAGCUGGGCUACAGAACCAAGUACCCAUGUAAUGUCUCAAGCUGCCUUGGGGGGAGGUACUUGCAUCCUGGUCUCCAGAAGCCUUCUUCUGGGCCUUAUACUCUGCAUCUUGCUGACUAAUAUGAAGCACUAGGGGUGACCCCUCAUGCCACCAUCAAUACUGCCCUGCCAGCUGUGGACCAGCCCUGCUCCUGAGCCUCUGAGCUGUGCUGAAGGCAUCCCUCACAUGCUCCUGAGCCUCUAAGCUGCGCUGAAGGCAUCCCUCACCUGCUCCUGAGCCUCUGAGCUGCGCUGAAGGCAUGCCUUCCCUGCUCCUGAGCCUCUGAGCUGCGCUGAAGGCAUCCCUUACCUGCUCCUGAGCCUCUGAGCUGUGUUGAUGGCAUCCCUCACCUGCUCCUGAGCCUCUGAGCUGUGCUGAAGGCAUCCCUCACCUGCUCCUGAGCCUCUGAGCUGUGCUGAUGGCAUCCCUUACCUGCUCCUGAGCCUCUGAGCUGUGCUGAUGGCAUCCCUCACCUGCUCCUGAGCCUCUGAGCUGCGCUGAAGGCAUCCCUUACCUCCUCUCAGCACCUCACUUCUUUAAAGUUGCUGGUUUCGUGGUGAUUUAUCACCCCAACCCCACCUUAAUGUCAGCAGUCCUCAUUUCCGCUUAUUGUUAGUGCAUGUUCUUACACUUUUGUCGAGUCCCUCAUUGUUCAGUGCCAGUGGCUGAUCAUGCAGCUGGCAGUGUGCUGACCGUCCUGCGGUUUGUGUGGCAAUGUGGUGGUGACACGUGGCCCCGCUUUCAUUGUCAGCUGUCCUGUGCAUCCUCUGGUAAUUUGGAGCUUGUGGUUAUGGUUUGACUUAAUUUAGCUUCCAUUCGCUUCUGGAACGACGAUGUUUGCAGGGGCAGGAGUAGGACACAGAGCACCAAGAUGGCGUCCAUGUCCAUGAUCUGUGACGGAAACACGAAAGGUCUCCAUAAUAUAAACACUCACAACUGUGAUAAACUAUGAGAUACAUGCAUUUUCUGGCUGUAAAAUGUAAAAAAAAAAUGUUAAAUAAACCAUAUGAAAAUCUAA